CAGUCUAUACAACUUCUAUUAAAUGUAAUGGUUUGAAUAUGUGUAUGUAUAUAUAUAUAUAUAUAUAUAUAUAUAUAUAUAUAUGCACAAAUAUAUAUUUAUAGGUAAGGAAACUGAGGCCCAGGGAAUUUCCCUAAAAUUGACUGAAAUGGCAUAGCAGAUAAAUAAGAGUGGAGCGAAAACCCCUAGGCCUCCUCUUUUUUCUCCACACCCUUUCAUCACAAUCUAUGUCCCAUUACAAUUUUUUAAAUUUAAUUGUUUUGUUUCUUUUUAAUAUUUUCUUAGGAUGACAUGGAAUUGACAAGCAAUUCCACUGGGUUAUACAUGUAUUAUCUAUGUCCCAUUGUUAGGUAGGUAGUCAGUUAUUCCACAGAAAACCUUGAGUAUAUGUAUAAUGUUUUGCAAUAUAUAUAAUAAAAGAAAGAAUUUUAACCUUUACCUUUUGUCUUAGAAUGGGUGCUAAAUAUUCAUUCCAAGGCAGAAGAGAGCAGUAAGGGCUUGGAAAAAAGGGUUAAGUGACUUGCCCAGGGUCAUACAGCUAGAAGUAUCUAAGUCCACUCUAUCCACUGCACUACCUAGCUUACCCUAUCAGGGAAAACAUGAGAGAAAAAUGCUUAAAUCCAUGACCUCUCCAGGGGAGUGCUCUACUGGAGGAAUGACUUUUUAACAUCUUGGCUUUUAAAGCCUGGAUGUGGUGGAGAGGUGGGCAAUGACACCCCUUCCCCACUCCCACCUUUAUGCUGAAAGGAAGAGCAAGGACAGGUAUCUAGUGUUCACCAGUCUCUCAGGGUGUCUGGGGGGGUUGUCAAUUUAGUCAAUAACAAGGCAACUACUAAGGGAUGUUGGGGACACAGGGUCAGGAAAAAACCCCAAAUUGGGAGUAGACCCUGUGCUGGAGGAGACCCUAGGAUGGGGCUCCUGGGUGCUGAUAAUGGGGUUCAGGGAGGGGGACUGUGAAGCUGUGGUUCCUGGUUCUGGUCCACUGGGCCUGAUGUAAGUCUAAGGCAGUGAAAGGCACUAGUGCAGAGCUAGCUGCUGAGAUGCAUCCUGGGGAGUUUGCCUCUGGUUGAUAAACCAAGACAGAGAACACUGCUUUGUCUAGUUUCAUGACUCCAAGCAAUUCUCUUUACUUUUUUGGACUCUAAAUCCUUUCCUCUUCCCAAUUUUUAUCUUACUGCAAAGGGUACCAUCAUUUUUCUAGUCACUCAGUUUCCCAGCCUGUCCUCCUCACUCUCGCUCCUCCUAUAUAGCCAGUUGUUUCCAAAUAUAGUCAUUUUCCCCCUUCAAAAUGUCUUUCCUACUUAUCUUUUCUCCCCUUUCACAAAGCUAUCACCCUGGUCCAGACUCUCAUUACUUCAUACCUAGACUGGUAUGAUAGUUUUCUAGGUGGCUUCCCUGCCUCAAGUCCUUCCCCUGUCCAAACUGUCCUCUAUUCAACUGCCAAGGUGAUUUUUAGAAAUUAUAGGUAUGAUGGUAUCAUACCUCCCUUCUCCCCUCUUUUAGCUUCACUUGGGGAUCAAAUACAAAGUUCUCUGUCAUUUCAAACUCUCUGUAACCUGUCUCCUUUCUACCUUUUCAGUCUUCUUAUUUCAUAUUCCUUUCCACACAUUUUGCUAUUAUAGUGAAAACAGCUUAUUGAGGUUUUUUAUAUAGGAUGUUCUCAUUUCUUGAUUCGGGGCUUUGUGCUGGCUGUCACCAAUACUUGGAAUGCUUCACCUCCUCACCUCUGCCUCUCAGUUUCCCUGGCCUCCUUGGCUCAGAUUCUACCUUCUGUAGUAGAUCUUUACUGUCCCUCAAUUACUAAUGUCUGCUCUGUUCAGAUUACCUUUAUUUUUUCUGCUUAUAUUUCCUAUUUUUUUACAUACUGUAUCAUCUCUUCCCAUCUGAAUAUUAGAAUGCCUUUCUUGAGGGCAGGGACUAGUUUGUGCCUUUUGAUGUAUCUUCAGUCCUCAUUAUAGUGCCUGGCACACAGUUGUUCAUCCUUCGUUUUCAAAAAGAUUAAUGAUAUCACAAGAGUGACAUUUAAGUGAGGCAGAGUUGUUGGCCUCUCUCUCUCUCUCUCUUUUCCAGAAUCAACAAAGUCCAUUGGUAAGGCAAAAAUCCAGAGAGCUGGCGAUGGUCCAGGGUGCAGCGGAUGACCUUGGCACCUUCCAUGUCUGACCAAGCUCUAAGCCCUCUGUAGCACCUGUUUCAGCUGCUUUCAUGGGCAUUAGAACAAAUUGUUGUCGUCAGCCCAUUCCACCAGAGGAAGGCUUGACAUGCGAAGGUAGACAUCCCCCUAACUCACUGGCUGGUUUGAGUCCUCUUGGUUACCUUCCACCUGGUUUAGUCCAUCUACCAAGACCGGUUUCCUGGGUGAUGGCCAGUGAGAGAUGCUACAGUUUCUUGGAGCCACAGAUGAAAGCUGAAUGAACAGCCCUAAAAAGGGCUCAGCAAACCUUCACACCAGAGACUGUUGGCCAAGAAACAUUUAAUAAUUGAUAGGCGCUGCGCUAAACAAAUUUAAAAAAGGGGCAAAAGAUGGUUUCUGCUCUCAAGGAGCUCCCAGUCUCAUGGGAGAGAUGACAAUCAAACAAAUGAACAAAAGCUACAUAUUUGAUGUGAAUAGGAAAUAAAUAAGUGAGGGAAGGCACUAUAACUCAGACAGAUUGGGAAAGGCCUUCUGUAGAAGAUGAGAUUUUCGUUAGACUUGAAGGAAGCCAGAGAAAGCAGGAGGGAAAGAUGAGGGAGGAGAGGCAUUCCAGGUAUGGGGGAGAGAAAAUGCCAGGAGAUGAGAGAUGGAAUAGCAAUUAAGUCAUUGGAGAAUAAGGCGUAAGAAUAUUAGAAAAAUUAGUUAAUGGUUGUUGAGUGCCUGACUAUCUGACUGGCUAAUGGGGGGAAAUAUUACUUUUACUACCUACCUCAUAGGAUUAAAAAAAAAAUCAUUUAACCCUUAUCUUCUGUCUUAGUGUAUUGGUUCUAGGGCAAAAGACAGAUAAGGGCUAGGCAAUGGGGGGGGGGGGGAGGUAAGUGACUUGCCCAGGGUCACACAGGUAGGAAGUGUCUGAGCCCAGAGCCCAGAGUUGAGCCCUGGACCUCCUGUCUCUAGGCCUGACUCUCCAUCCACUGAGCCACCCAGCUGCCCCCUUCAGAGAGUUACUAUGAGGAAAACACUUUUUGGACCUCAAAGUGCCAAUUAGCAAUUAUACUAACACCACUAUUCUUCUCUAUCCUAGGAACUACUGCCUUCUGCUAUCUCUCCAUUUGGAUCUCCUCUUACCUUCUGUAGCAAAUGAAUGGAAGAAAGAUUAAGUCUGGUUUCCCCUUUCUUAACAUCCUGCAAAUACUUAAACAGUUUUCCUUGGUGAAGGCAUUGGUGUGGGUAAAAGAAUCCCCAGGGUAUUUUGAGGGAAAAGGAAGAAAAACUUGGAAAAUUCCUCCUACCUCCUUUACCUCAGUAUGAACAAGAGCAGCAAAACUGAGGUAAAGGUGAUAGAUGACGUCUCUUGGGACCGGAUUUCCCUGUAGGAAGCUCUAGGUGAGGAGUCCUCACACCUAGCUAUCUGCAGAAGAACAAGUGAAACAGGCUGGGUCACAGAGCCAACAUUUAGUUGCUGCUGUAGUGCAUGGAGUCCAGAUGGCCUGGGCAAAGGGCACCUUUCACCACAGCAGCAUAACAGGAGUUUUCAGCUUCUCUAAGACUGUUGGAACAUCUUUGUGUAAAGAAUAAGGGGUUCGGGGGCAGCUAGGUAGCUCAGUCUGGGGGUCCUGGACACUUCCCAGCUGGGUGACCUUGGGCAAGUCACUUAACUUCUGUUACCUAACCCUUUCUGCUCUUCUGCCUUAGAACUGAUCCUUGGUAUUGAUUCUAAGAUUGAUGGGGAGAGUUUAAAAAAGAAAAAAGAAUAAAGGGUACCUCUGAGUCCUUUAACCCUCAUGCUGUGGUAAGGAAAGAACACGCUUUAAUCUCCUAAUUCCAGCCACGGCCCUGGCUAUCACAGUCCUGGCCAAAGGCCUCUCAACUCAACCUGUGAGGUGGUGAGACAAAAAAAGCUUUUUUUGUGUCUUCUAGCACUCAGCCUAUUAUAUGUCCCCUCUGGAGCUGACUGAUUAGAAAUGUGGGCAUCCGCACAAGCCCGAUGAGCCUGACUUCAGGGCCACCCUAGCUUGGAUCUGACUGGCCAUUGCUGAAAAGCUCUUAGCACAAGCGAUGCCGGGAUCUGGCCCUGCCAACAGCAUCCCUGCCUGGGGUUCUUCAUGGUACAGUUCUCAGGGAAGGAGAAAAGUGCACACAACAAAAUCAGUCUCUGUUUCAUUGGGGCAGAGCCAGUGGAACUUUUCACAGCCACGGGGUGUUGAGCCCUAGCGUUCUGGCCCCGUUCCAGUCUGGGUAAUUACAUUCUCCCUACUACCUUCUGACUGCUUUACUGGGAUCCGGGAUUUUUCCCAUUUGCCAUUAGGUCAUAUUGCCCUGGCACUCUACUUCCAGAUGGACUUAAGCUGCACCUAGAGCCUUCUGCAUGAGUGACAGAUUUUGAGACAGGUCUAACCAAAUGCCAGGGCUUGGAGGGAAGUGACCAGUUUCCCAAGUCUGAACAACUCCACCUCUUUCCCAAACAUUGACUAAACCCAGACUGACAAAAACUGUGUCACACAGCGAAGUCAUCGAAUGACUUGGGCAUGGAAUUCGGGUUAAGAGAGGCCACGAGGGUGUUUGUGCUGCAGUGAGCCUGUAUGUAUGACUAUCCCGUAACUAAGAGGCAUUAUUCCAACUGGCACUGGGAGGCUACAGGCUCCUUCCUCCUCAGUUACUGCAUGAUGGAAUAAAAGCAUUCCAGGAAAUCAAAAAAGCUGGGUAAGUCUUUGGAAUUUCAAAGUAAACAACUUGGCAUGUCUGGCCAUUUCAGUUUCUGCAGCGUCAUUUUCUCUCAGCAGAAACGGUCUUUUCCUAAGCAGCCAAAUAACCCAAGUGAGAUCAGUUAUAGGCUUCUAUCCCUAGAAGGUAAAAGGCUUGUUCCCCCUAUUUCCCAUCUCUAAGGAAAGGAAGCUGUUACAAAAUUCAAGAACCCCCAAAAGCUGAGAUGUAAAGAGAGAGAAAUGAGACCUAUUGACUGUAGAGGAAGUAACUUAAAGUAAAAAAAAAAUUGAAAUCAAGGGGGUCAGCUAGGUGGCAUUGGUCAGGGAAUAGAGAGCCAGGUCGAGGGAAGGGAGGUCUUGGGUUCUAAUGUGACUUCAGAUACUUCCUAGCUGUGGGACCCUGGCCAAGUCACUUACCACGCCCCCCCCCCCCCCCAUUGGCUAGCCUUUUAUUGCUCUGUCUUAGAGCCAAUACAUAGUCUUGACUCUAAGACAAAAGGUAAGGGUUGAAAAAAGAAAGAAAGAAAGAAAGAAAGAAAGAAAGAAAGAAAGAAAGAAAGAAAGAAAGAAAGAAAGAAAGAAAGAAAGAAAGAAAGAAAGAAAGAAAGAAAGAAGGAAGGAAGGAAGGAAGGAAGGAAGGAAGGAAGGAAGGAAGGAAGGAAGGAAGGAAGGAAGGAAGGAAGGAAGGAAGGAAGGAAGGAAGGAAGGAAGGAAGAAAAAGCUGAGAAUUGGCAAAGUUUAUCAGGAUGGUACUAAAUGUUGAAUUCACCAUGAAAACAACUAGUAUGAACUCAAUAUAGGAAGACUUAGCAGUCUGGACACCCUCAAGCAUAUAGUGUGGUAGCCAGGGGUCAGACUGAAAGGAAGAAUAAAAAAGCCUCUCCCAGCCAAGAAAGGACCUUUAGAAGUAAGAGAGCAGUCACAAGGGUGCAGCUGGGCAGCUGGGUAGCUCAGUGGAUUAAGAGCCAGGCCUAGAGACAGGAGGUCCUGGGUUCAAAUCCAACCUCAGACACUUCCUAGCUGUUUGACCCUGGGCUAGUCACUUGACCCCUAUUGCCUAGCCCUUACUGCUCUUCUGCCUUAGAACCAAUACAAGACAGAAGGUAAGGGUUUAAAAAGAGAGAGAGAGAGAGAGAGAGAGAGAGAGCGUAGCCACGAAAUAGCCUAGAAGAGGUGAAGAUUAUACCCCAAGAAUGCACAGUUAUUCAGUUCUCUAAUAGAAGGAAGGAGAAGUUUGAUUGACUUAUGAGGCAUACGAAAAAGGCCAAACCCAAGUAUGGCAGAAGAGACUGGCUGGAGCCUGAGGAAGAAAAACACAAGAAAAUCAGAGAGUAGAUGAAGGGUAGGUGGGCAAUGAGGCAACAGUAGGAGGUGGAGACAAGCCAUAGACAUAGUCAAUAGAAGAGUCCUAUGAUGGUUAGGGAAGUGGGGAUGGGGCCCAGUUAUGCAGGGUCAGCAGUCCCUAAAGACUGCGUUAUGCCACAUUAAUUUGUUUUUGUGGAGGCAAAUCACGGAGGGCAAUACUGUGCUAUGCUGAAGGUAGCAUCAGUAUUAAAAUAGACUCAACAAAGCCACUAUGUGAGAGAUAAUGAACUAAAAGGGAAGUUCAUGAGUUUGUUUUUUUUUUAAGAAAGGAAAUUCAAGGUCCAUGGGAUACGUCCAUAGGUUGUAAAGAUGCACCCAUCCUGUAGUUGAAACAUCUUGGGUUCAAAUCCCAACUCCAGAUCCUAACAGCUGUGUGACUAUGGGAAAGUCAUGUCAGCUGUUGGCCCCAGUUGUCUCACCUAUAAAAUGGGGAUAAUCACAGCUGUAACAGGAUUGGAAUUAGUAUUUAAAGUAUAUAAAAUCCUUUGUAAACUAUGUAAAAAUCAGCUGUCAUUGUUCUGAUGAAAUUGCAAUCCUUUGUCCAGUACUAUUUACCUCUUUACCUAAAGUGAUAGUGAUAGCUAUGGCAGAGCUAUGACUGAGGUUUGUGAUGAUGAUCUGCAGUUGGGAAAAGGUUAAUUGUGUUCCAUAUACUCUGAGAGACAGUGUGGUACACUGGACAGCUAGUCUUGGAGCUAGGAUGACUUGGGUUUAAAUCUACACAUAUUGGUUGUGUGACCCUAAGCAAGUCACUUAAUCUCUUAAUGUUUGAGGUGAUUCUCUUAGAUUUGAAAUCACAAGGCAGUUGCCAGCUGGCAUUGGUAGAGGAAUUUCUUUAACAGGGCCAGCUAGGUAACUCAGUGGAUGGAUAGAAAGCCAGGCCUGGAGUCAGGAAGUCCUGGGUUCAAAUUUGGUCUCAGACAUUUCCUAACUGUGUGACUCUGGGCAAGUCAUUUAACUCCAUUUGUCUAGCUUUUACAUUUCUUUUGUCUUGGAAUAGAUAUCAUUCUAAGACAGAAGAUAAAGGUUUUAAAAAACAAAAGCCUGAUAACUCCCUCUAACAAUGAAAUCAGAAGUCUGGUCCAAAACCAAAAAAAUUCCCCCCCCCACCCAAAGUUUCCCCCCCAAAAGCCUAUGAUGCUUACUAGGGUGACCCUGAGCAAGAUACUCAACCUUUAUUAGCCGUAGGGUUCUCAUCUAUAAAAUGGGAAUAUUAUUGUGCUUAUACUUCAUAGGGUUUUUCUUUUUUAACCCUUCCUUCUGUCUUAGUAUCUAUUCUAAGACAGAAGUGGGGAAAGGGUUAGGCAAUCAGGUUUAAGUGACUUGCCCAGGGUCACACAGUCAAGAAGUGUCUGAGGCCAGAUUUGAAUCUAGGUCUUCCUGACUUCAGGUCUGGUGCUCUAUCCACUGUCACCUAGCUGCUUGCCCUCAUGGAGUUUUGUAAGUAAAUGGUAAAGUAAGUAAGGGAACAUUUAUUAAGUACCUACUGUGUGUCAGGUACUUUGCUAAGUGCUUUUCAAAUAAUAUUUCAUGUGAUCCUUGUAUCUGACAAAUCACUUCUGUAACAUGAUGGAUUGAUGCCCAAACUGGUUAUAAAAAUGAAUAUACUGUACGGGUGGAAGCCCACCAGAGAAGCCAAGGAAGCUAUGGAGGGUUGUACUACCCGCUCAUUCUUUAGGAUGAUCUCCUUGGGAUACAAACAGCCAAAUCUUGGUAAGUGGAUUAUGUACACUCGCUUCCACAGAGCUGGAACAUAUAUCUUAAUACUAAUAGAUAACUCUACAGAGUGUGAGGUGGUCAUAACUGUUGCUCAAUCUAAUAUUAAGGUUGUUAUCUCAGUCCUUGACAAGAACAUCUGGUGUUCCUUGCACAAGCUAUUCCAUCUCUAGAACGCCAGAACAUAAUCAUGAAUUAACGAAUACUUUUUCAUUAAUUCAUCUCCUUUCUCUAUGACUGCACAGGCUAUCCCCCAUUCCUGUGUGACGUGCAGGCUCUUUAAAGCCCUUUAUAUAUGGAGUUUAAUUUAUUGAUAAAAAUAAAAAAAUUCUGUUUAAAGCAAAAUAACGACAUUAGCAGACAAUAUAAACUAUUGCUGCUAUUUUACAUAAACAUUAUGAUAGCUAAAAAACUAGGAAAAAACCACUUUGAUAUAAUGAAAACAAAUGCCAAUAUGCAAAUAGAGAUAUGAAGCUGACAAAAGAAGACAUUCUGAGCAGUUCUGGACAGAAAAUCAGUGGUGUAAAAGAAAAACUCAAAUCUUUUUGUGAAAAAUGUAGAUUUAGGCUUUGCCCCUAUGGUAACAGGUUGAUUUUUUUUUAAACCUUUACGUCUUAGAAUCAAUACUGUGUAUUGGUUCCAAAGCAGAAGAGUGGUAAGGGCUGGGCAAUGAGGGUGAAAUGACUUGCCCAGGGUCACACAGCUAGGAAGUGUCUGAGGCCAAAUUUGAACCUAGAACCUCUUGUCUCUAGGCCUGGCUCUCAAUCCACUGAGCUACCCAGCUGCCCCCAGAGCAAGUUGAUGCUAUAAAGAGGCAGAGAAAGAUCUUUUAUUUUGGGAAAAUGGAAGGAAUAUGAAUGUAAAGAAACACAGUUUCAAGGAUAUCAAAGAGAUGCUGAAUCAGAAUAACACCUUCUGAAUUUUAAGGGAUGAUGCAGCUCAUGUAUGUACAACUUUUAUUAUAUUACUAAGUAGGGUAAAAUUUAAAAAAAGAAAUCAUGAACAUUUGGAGAUGAAAUGAGAUAUGUUUUUAGAAAGGCUAUUAAUUUGUUAGGGAAAAUUUGGGAAGUUAUGAGGUUUUAAGUGAGAGAUGAGUCACUGAGAGUUUCUCACUUAAGCCCUUGAAAUAGAUAGGAUCUGACCAUAAAACUAUGCACUUAUUGACCCAGAAAUUCUACUACAGACCCCUCAUCUUAAAGAGAUCAGAGAUAAGGGGAAAGGACCUAUCUGUACCAAAAUAUUUUAGCAGCUCUUUGGAGUGGCAAAGAAUUGGAAACUGAGGGAUUGUCCUUAAUUUACAAGUUGUGAUAUAGGGUUGUAAUGGAAGACUACUGUGCCAUAUGAAAUGAUGAAGAGGAUGAGUUCAGAAAAAUGGGGAAGACUUCUAUGAACUGAUGCAAAGUGGAGUAGAACAAGAGAACAAUAUUAAAUAGAGUAUCUGAAAUAUUAUAUGACGACCAACCAUUAUCAGUAAAGCAAAUUCCCAAGCUAUCCACAUAAUAAGGAAAAAUAUUAUCCACAGCCUAAGAAGGAAUUGUUAGAAUGAUUACAGAUUAAAGCAUGCCAUCUUCUAUUUUAUUUCCUUCAUGAGUUUUUUAUUGUAUGUGUGAUAUGUGUCAUCUAUCACAACAUGAGCAAUAUGGAAAUAUGUAUUACAUGAAAGCAUUGGUUUAACCUAUUAUUUACCAUGAUGGGUAUGGGGGUGGAGGGUGGGUAAGGUGGGGACAGGGCAGGUGAGGGAGAAAAUCUGAAUCCUAAAAUGUCAGAAAACAGUUGUCAAUUGUUUCUAUAUGGAACUGAAAAAAUAACGUUUAAAAAGAAAUAAAAACAAGUGAAUGAAUGUCAAAAAAAAAAGAGAGAGAAAGAAAUAGGACCUCUGAAUAAAAACUAUCUAUAGUAGAUAAAGCUCUGGUUUAGAAUCAGGAAGACCUGAAUUCAGAUCUGAUCUCAGAUACUUACUAGCUAUUGUGUCAGCCUGACCAAGUCACUUAACCCUGAUUACUUCAGUUUCCUCAUCUGUAAAAUGAGCUGGAGAAGGAAAUGACAAAUGACUCUAAUUUUUGCUAAGAAAACCCCAAUGGGGCCAUGAAAAUUAGAUAUGGCUGGAACUACUGGAUAAUAAAAACAGAGAAAACCUGACAUAGGGACCUGAAAAGAAUUGUAGAAAUGGUGGUGGGGUUAGGACUAGGGUAACCUGGAAAGAUGCAUUGUUGGAGCUAUUAGGAGCAGUCAACUGACAGAGGACUUCAGGUGAAUUAUUCUUGGUGAUGGAAAAGAGAAAUAACUUCCCUGGCCAAGAACAUCAGUGACACCUAUUGUUCUCUAGCUCUAGAUUUAGAGGGGGGUAAAGCUUUCCUUUCAUGAGGACCCAUUUCUCUCUGCUGUCACCUGUAGCAAAGAAGAAAAACCAGAGGAGAUUUUUGUAUUUAUUUCAGUGUGCUGGGGUUAAAGAGUCAGCUUGAGCCACAUGGCUAUGAACUCCAUGAUGACUGGACAAUCAGCAUCUGGAUUUGUAGAUAUCAUGUUGGAGCAGACAAGAGGAGGAUUUGCCCAGCUGAAGAGUGAAGGCCAACAGUCAAAAAAUAAGCAGAGAAGCAGUUUUCUGUGGUGUAGAUGUUUGUGAAUGGGCUGAUGACAUCCAAGCCCGCAGACAAGAACUCCUUGCAUGGUGAGAAACCAGACUUGAAUUGCUUGGAGAAUAGACUUGUUUAUUGCUUAAAUCAGGAUGUGUAGGUCAUGUUGACCUCAGAAACCUUCCAGGGGAUCUGAAGAUUGCUGCAAGGAAUUUCCAGUUUCCUGAGCCUAUUGCAAUCUUAUGCCCUCCGGAAUUUCUACUGAGAGAAGUUGCUAGAUAAGGUGACUUCAGAGGACAGAAGAUGAAGAAUGACUCAUACCUUUCAAUGGAGAGGUGGCCGGAUACAGGCAUGGAAUUUUUCAGGUCUAACAGCUUAAUACAUGAGGGAAGAACAGGAAACAAGUAUUUCUAAAAUAUCUAGUAUAUGCCAGGCACUAUGCCAAGAAAUUUACCAGUAUUUUUUCAUUUGAUGUUUACAACAACCCUAUGAGCUGAAGGAGCCAGCCCACUAUGGGAAGAAGUCACUUAGUUCAUCCUAUUAUCUCCAGGACCAACCAUGCCUUAUAUGAUGUAAGUGUCCAAAUAAAUAUUUGAUGCUAGUGAUUAUUCUUUUCCAGUAAUAGAAACAGUCAUUACUCAUGUGGCUAUUUAUUUAAAAAAUUUUAGAAGUUUUUGUUUAAUUGGAUUGAAUAACCAAUAGGGUCUUAGUUCUGGUCUUAGUGAUGAAGGGGAGUGUAGAGCUUAUCUAGUCUAGGACAACACACAUAUUACAAAUGAAGAAACUGAGGCUUUGAAAAGUUGUGACUCACCACAGGUCACAGAGUAAUGAGUGGCAGACACAGAAUUAGGAUUGGGAUCUCCUGACACCUGUCCUAGUAAUAUUUCUACUAUAUCAGGACAAGCAGUUGUAGAAUAUAAAUUUCUAGGGAAGGACAACUUAAGAUCGGCUAGGAUAAUAGCUAAAAUGAAUAAGAUGAAAUAUGAUAGAUAAAAAUAUAGAACAUUUAAGAUAAAAAAAUUAGAGUGUAAGUACAGAAUAGAGGAAAGGAGAACAGAAAAAGGUUCAAAUCUGAAGGUUUUAGGGAACUGCAAAGUCAACGUAUCAAUAAUAUGACAUGCCAGUCAAAAAGAAGCUAAUGCAAUCUUUGGUUUCAUAAAGAGAAACAUUGUGUUUAGAAUAAGGGAGCAGAUAACGAUUGUAUUUUUCUCUGGUAAGAUCUGGGGACCGCAUUUGAACAGGGACAUUAAUAAAAUGUUGCGUGUCCAGAGGAGGCUGACCAAUAUGAUUAAAGGACUAGAGACCUAUAUGACCUAUGGUCAAUUGAGAACUUUCCAAGACAAAAACUUUGUGAUUAGCUUGGAGUUGAAAAGACUUUAGAGAGGGGGUAAGGAGACUUGGAAAAUGCUAAUGAUCUUUAAGUAUAUGAAAAACUGUGAUAGUGAAGUUGGAUUAGCCUUGACUCAAGAGGGCUGAACUCUAAAAGUGAUGAAUAGAAAAUGUAGUGAGGAGAUUUAGGUACAAAGAAGCGAAACUGUCCAAAGUGGAACAGGUUGCUCUAGAAGGCAGUAGGCUAUCUAUGAUAGUAAUUGGUACUAGGUGGCUUGUUUCUAGUUGUGGAACCCUAUAGUUCUGUGUAUCUAAGAUGAAAGGCAAGAGGUCCUCAGGAAGCUCUAAGAAUUCAAGAGAUAAUUUAUUUGUGGGACUCUCAAUUAGGAACUAGCUUAGAAUUCUAUAAUUGUGACUUUAUUAUUUUAUUUUUUAAAAACUCUUACUUUCAGAUCAAGGAUAUCCAGGGAAAUCAUGAAAAAAAAAUGUAAAGGAAGGAGGACUUGCAGUCCUGGAUCUCAAACUAUACUAUAAAGCAGUGGUUAUCAAAACAAUUUGGUAUUGACUAAGAGACAGAAAGGAGGAUUAGUGGAAUAGACUUGGCGUAAAUGAUCUCAGCAAGACAGUUUAUGACAAACCCAAAGAUCCCAGCUUUUGGGACAAAAAUCCAUUAUUUGAUAAAAACUGCUGGGAAAAUUGGAAGACAGUGUGAAAGAGAUUAGGUUUGGAUCAACACCUCACACCCUACACCAAGAUAAACUCAGAAUGGGUGAAUGACUUGAACAUAAAGAAGGAAACUAUAAGUAAAUUAGGUGAACACGGAAUAGUAUACAUGUCAGACCUUUGGGAAGGGAAAGACUUUAAAACCAAGCAAGACUUAGAAAGAGUCACAAAAUGUAAAAUAAAUAAUUUUGACUACAUCAAAUUAAAACGUUUUUGUACAAACAAAACCAAUGUAACAAAAAUCAGAAGGGAAGCAACAAACUGGGAAACAAUCUUCAUAAAAACCUCUGACAAAGGUUUAAUUACUCAAAUUUACAAAGAGCUAAAUCAAUUGUACAAAAAAUCAAGCCAUUCUCCAAUUGAUAAAUGGGCAAGGGACAUGAACAGGCAGUUCUCAGCCAAAGAAAUAAAAACUAUUAAUAAGCACGUGAAAAAGUGUUCUAAAUCUCUUAUAAUCAGAGAGAUGCUAAUCCAAAUAACUCUGAGAUGUCACCUCACACCUAGCAGAUUGGCUAACAUGACAGCUAUGGAAAGUAAUGAAUGCUGGAGGGGAUGUGGCAAAGUGGGGACACUAUUUCAUUGCUGGUGGAGUUGUGAAUUGAUCCAACCAUUCUGGAGGGCAAUUUGGAACUAUGCCCAAAGGGUGAUAAAAGACUGUCUGCCCUUUGAUACAGCCAUAGCACUGCUUGGUUUGUACCCCACAGAGAUAAUAAGGAAAAAGACUUGUACAAGAAUAUUCAUAGCUGCGCUCUUUGUGGUGGCCAAAAAUUGGAAAAUAAGGGGAUGCCCCUCAAUUGGGGAAUGGCUGAACAGAUUGUGGUAUAUGUUGGUGAUGGAAUACUAUUGUGCUAAAAGGAAUAAUAAAGUGGAGGAAUUCCAUGGAGACUGGAACAACCUCUAGGAAGUGAUGCAGAGCGAAAGGAGCAGAACCAGGAAAACAUUGUACACAGAGACUGAUACACUGUGGUACAAUCGAAGGUAAUGGACUUCUCCAUUGGUAUCAAUGCAAUGUCCCUGAACAGUCUGCAGGGAUCUAAAAAACACUAUCCACAAGCAGAGGAUAAACUGUGGGAGUAAAAACACUGAUGAAAAGCAACUGCUUGACUGCAGGGGUGGAGGGGAUAUGACUGAGGAGAGACUCUAAAUGAACACUCUAAUGCAGAUACCAACAACACGGAAAUUGGUUCGAAUCAAGAACACAUGUGAUACCCAGUGAAAUAGUGAGUUGGCUAUGGGAGAGGUGGUGGGAAAGGGGGGGAGGGGAGGAAAAGAAAAUGAUCUUUGUUUCCAACGAAUAAUGUUUGGAAAUGACCAAAUAAAAUAAUGUUAAAAAAAACAACAAAAAACCUCUUACUUUCUUUCUUAGAAUCAACACUGUGUAUUGGUCCUGAGGCAGAAGAGUAAUAAGGUUUAGGCAAUGGGGGUUAAGUAACUUGACCAGGGUCACACAGCUAGGAAGUAUCUGAGGUCACAUUUGAAUCUAGGACCUCCCAGCUUUAGAGCGACUCCUGUCUCUCAAUCCACUGAGCCACCUAGCUACCCCUUGUAGCUUAAUUUUAAUUACACUGGGAAUUUUAUUUGAAGCAAAGGACCUUAGAAGCUCAGCAAAGGGCAGUAUUGGCUCACUACUAAUUCAUCAACCCUAUUUGUACAUGGCUAUUGAGUACCUUGAGAAAUACUAUUCUGUUAAGUGGGUGGUACAGUGGUUUGAGAGCUGGACCUGGAAUCAGGAAGACUUGCAGCUUUAGACACUUACUAGGUUUAUGACUGGGCAAAUCACUUAAAUUUUGUCUGCUUGUUUCCUUUUCUUUAAAAUAAGGAUAACAACAUUACCUCGUAGGAUAGUUUGGAGUAUUAGCUGAGAUAAUAUUUGUAAAGCACUUUAUAGCUCUUAAAGCACUAAUUAUCAUCAUCAUCAUCAUUAUUAUUAAAUGAAUAAUUCAGAAAAGGGAAGUAAGAUGCUAUAUAAAGCUAAGUAAGAUGCUAUAUAGAGCUAUCUGGUAGAAUUCAGUGAUAGAUAAUUCUAAAAUAUACCUAGUGGAGUUGGAGGGAAUUUUUCUUGGGAUGACUUAUGGGAGAUGAUUUCAGGUAUGGCUGAAUUAAAUUUUUUUUUGGAAGUUGAUAUCAUCUAAGACAGUCAAAUGCCUAGAUAAGAUAUUCUACUGCAAUUUGUUUUGUUAUUCAAUGACCCUACUAUCAUCUUGUUUAAUUUUCUGUGGGCAUGGAGAACUAUAGUUUAUUAUUCUUAAUACUUUUUCUCAAUAACUUUCAUUCAGUUUAGAUUCUUUAGUUUUCUUUGUUCUUGUCCUUUUAAAGUUCUGGUUUCUAAUACUUAAAUACUGAAUUUUUCUUUUGUUUCACUGAUUUUCAUGGCCCAGCAAUUCAUCACCCCAUGACCAAUUUGAGGGUAACGAAUUCUACAUUUGGCUAAUGUGUUCCUCAAUCAGGAGACAUAGUAUAUUGCUGGGACCAUAUCUGAAGCCCUUUUAGCUUUGCAAACCUACCAGAACCUUUACUCUAAUGGAACAGCUUCUGAGAAUAUAGAAGUGUCUCUGCUGUUAGUCAAUAAACCACUCAAAAACCAGGCCAUCCAUUUAUAUAGGAAAAAAACAAGUAGAUGAAAAGUACAUAUUGACCAAUCAAACAGUAAACAUUUAUUUAGUAUAUAUUAUUCUAGGCACUGUAUAAGAUGCUGGGAUUAUAAACACAAAAAUGAAAAGCCCUUGUUAUUGUUAUACUGUUGAUAAGGAUGCACAGAAUUAGUCUAUCAGUGCAUAUUACUUGGACUAAUACUGCAGAUAGAUAGUGAGCUUGGCCCAGAAGUAAAUAAGAGGUUCAAGCUUAGAUUCAUUUGGGAAAUGGUACCGUGUUUACAAUGAUCUCCAGAUGCUUCCUGACAUUUGAAUACCAGUCUUUCUCCUUGAAAAGCAAGGUGGCCUCAGAUCAUAUGAUAUAAUCAUUCCUGAAGAAUCAAGAUGGUGGGAGUUCCAAAAAGCAACAGAGAAAUGCAUGGUGGAUGUAAGUAGACUGGAUCUUAUCCCCAUCAAUGAUUUCCAUACAAGAUGUGGCAUCAAAGAUAGCAAAGACCUAUCAGAGAAGGAAGUGGGUCAAUUAUGUAAUAAGGUGUGAUGAGAUAUCUAGAUAGAUAUUGUUGCUAAAAUAUUUAGGGAAAGUCUCCACCAUAUAGGAGAGAUUCUUUACAGAGGACUUGUGUAGAGACACAGACAAAAAUGAACAUAGGAUGAGAAGCGGUUCUCUAAUUGUGAAUCUAUAGAGGUCCAAGGAGUACUUUCACUGAUAGAGGCCCAUGGAAGCAUUAAAGAUGAAUUACUCUCCUGGUUCCUCUUGACAAUAGUAUGCCAUAGUGGAUGUUUUCAUCACACGCUUGAUUAAUGCACCAUAUAAAAGAAGGAUUAUUUACAUGCUGCAAGAAUCUAAUUUAUACAUUCUGGCAUUAUAUUUGAUCUUCAAAAACCAAAAAUACUCCUAGGAUGCCAAAGCUUCCUACUUUCUACCACUGUGAUAUGUUUUGUUCCCAAUUGCUUUUCAAAUUUGUUCUUCCUUUCUUUCUACAUGCACAACACUGCCCAGGUUGUAAAGGUGUUAUUUGUUUAAGGAAACAAAUAGUAGAUUAAAAGUGGAGAGUGGGAAGAGAGCAACAGAUGUGAAUAUACCUUUGAUCUCUCAUUCUUGGGGGUGGGGUGGGGGCAAGCACCUGGUGGCAACAGAAAUGGCAACAAAGCCCUAGUACUGAUGGGGCUUGCCCUGGAAGAAGGCCAUAUAACUAGUAAAUGAAAGCUGAAUGCACUCCAUGGCCAUAUGAGGGAAAGGAACUCAAGGGUUGAAGGAAAAAAAAUCUCACUAGUAGAACUCUGGCUGGUGUGGUCACUAGUUGAAGUAACAGUUUAUAUAUAAACAUGCCUAAGGGUGGUGCUGGUGGAGAAUGAAGGGUAGGGAAUGACCAGAAAGCAAAAUAAAGUAUUUGAUAUGUUUUGUAGACUUGAAACAAAUAUUGCAAAAUCCUCCAGUGGGGGAUGGACGCAGAAAUGUAGUUUUGAAGAUAAAUCACAGAACUUUCAAUGAAAGAGUGUGGUGUGUGUGUGUGUGUGUGUGUGUGUGUGUGUGUGUGUGUGUGUGUGAGAGAGAGAGAGAGAGAGAGAGAGAGAGAGAGAGAGAGAGACAGAGAGAGAGAGACAGAGAGAGAGAGACAGAGAGAGAGAGACAGAGAGAGACAGAGAGAGACAGAGAGAUUUAAGUCCUGUUCUUUUUAGGGAUUUCUUUCCUUUGCUGGAGAUGCCUAACCUGCCUGCUGUGUGACUAAUGAAACCCUCAGGGUUUCUACAGUUCCUUUUGUAGAGCUGCAUCUCCCCCUGGUGUUUGUCUGUUAGUGUUACUACAUCAUGUCAUUGGCCAGAGAAAUAAGCACCAGUUAAACUAGGUGGAAAAAGGCAUUUCCUGUGAACUCUGUUGGGAUGGAUGUAAACAUCUAAACACUGCAUAUUUCUGACCUCUCCAGGGAACAGUUGUGUGCCAGGAGCAAUGCUCACUGAUUAGAACUUUGACAGUACAAAUAGGCACAUUAACGCUUUGAACAAUGCUCUUAUCAGACACAGAGUCCGAGAAUCUGGACUUGAGCAGGAAUUCCUUUAAGUCUGCAACAAGAAGAUAUCCAGCCUUUGACUGUGGCCCUUAAGAAAAGGGGAAUCCAUUACUUCUAGUUUCAGCCCAUUGUACUCUUGGACAGUUCUUUACAGAAAGUUUUUCCUUCCAUUAAGCCCAUACUUACCUCUCUGCAAAUAUGGUUACUCACUCUUCUCUUUGGGAUCAAUUAGAAUGAGUCCUAGCCUUCAUUCACAUGGAUCCCCUUCAGAUACCUGAAGACAAAUACCAUGUUGCCCCAGUGCUUAGCACAUAGUAGAG